rnacentral:sRNA from 1 species
ACGCGGGCCACUUCGGUGUCCCGAACAGGAGAUAGACACCGUGCUCCGUGGAAGAUUCGGGGCACAUCGGGGCGUU